AAAAAAAAAAAAGAUUAAUGAAGUCACGAUGGAGAGGCAGAGAACACAGCAGAAUCCACCGACUCACGACAACGUGUGCAGAAGCAAUUUGCCCCCGAAACUCUAAACAUGAAAUGUUUUAGUACCUCCCUGCUGCCCUGCGGUAGCUAGCGAAUAAAUAUUUCCACAUGGAAGAAAAUGGCCCUUUGAAAUGUAGCCUGUUCUAUUCAAGAGAGAAAUACAGCAAGGUACCACCAGGCUUCAGUGGCAAGAUGCAUUAUUAUUUUUUCCCAGUUUGAAAAUUGUGUGCCUUUCCAUUAGGACUCCCAGACGGUAAACACGGAUUCCCUCGUGAAUUGAAUCCGUGCAACCACCCCCUUUGUUGGUUGGGGGAACAAUAGACUAAACUCUGGCUGACAAAUCACGCCUUCAUUGAAUGCUUUGAUUAUCUGUUAAGUUAGAAACAAUCCUAUUAAAAGUCGGGACCCUGCCUCUUAUUUAAUCUGCGUGUGUAACUCUUCCUCUCCCAUUUCUGAGUUUGUUCUCCAAAGAUUAAAUAAAAACCAACCAUUCUUGACCUGUGUCUCCUGUGCUCUGAAUUUGAAACAAACCCAUGAUUGGGUCUAAAGUCAAAUCAGUGCUUGGGAGAAUGUCUAUCACGUGGUAUCACAGUUCUUUAUUCAUACAGACGGCUCAGCUCAUUUUUUUAAAAUAAAAAUAUUCUGACUAAGGCUGGGAAUGUAUGGCUGAAUUCUGCCGCUUGCUCAGAUUGGAGGGGUUUCCAGGGAGUUUUGAGGCACUGGAAACUUCUCUGCUCUAAGUUUUCCGAAGGACACUGUCAGCAAAAUUUCAAAUCACUGAAAGGAAAGCGAAUUAUGCAGGUACAAAUGAGUCAUGUUUAAUUCAAGUGAAAUUCAUUCACUCAUUUGUUCUAUAAAUAUUUAUUGAAAGCCUAUUUUGUGUAAGAGGCUGCCACCCCCCGAAUGGUCAAGGCUGCUUGGGUGAAUCAGUCCCACAUGGCUAACUUGCUCCUGGGCCCUUAUGUGUUCAGUGUGGACACCUCCAGUUCAUACAAGAUGGUGGUGUUACUUGACAUGUGAGGGCCCAGAGCUCUGGGGUGCUUUGUUGUUGUUGUUGUUGUUUUUAAAUCAGACUCUCAACUGCUUGUUUAAUCUAAAUUUUAACACUAACCUAGAGUGGUCUAAAAUGUGUUCUCGUCAUUUAACAGAUGCGAAACAAUAGUAUCUUAGUUGCAGGGAAAGAAUAAAAAAUCUGGGUGUCCCCUUUCGAUUCAGAACUUGUGGGUCUGCGGUAAUCAACGUCCCUGGCUCAUUAAUGAAGAAGGUUCUCUCCCCUCCUCCCUCAGUGCCCUCAUUCCUAUAAUGUAAACAGCUACUAAGAGCUAGUAUUCCUCUUUGUUCAAACAGACAAUGGCCUUUAUAACUAAGAAGAAAAUUAGUAUCAGGUGAAAGCCUCAUUUUAGGGUGCUUAAAGCUUUUUCUUUUUUCCAGAAGAACAAAGUACAACAGUAAUCUCAAGAAGAAUUCACAACGUUUCGAAAGCAACAGGACAAAGUUACCGUCCUGAAAGUCAUCUGAACAAGACAGACGAGCUGAUCCUUCGCUGCCCGGCGUUGCCAGAAUCCGAACAGGAACAGCGAUAUACUUAAGCACGUUACAUUUCCUUCUGGCUUGUGGUGCUGGGAAUACUGAAGGAAGAGACGUAGUCCCUUCCCUUAAGGAAACUCAAGAAGUCAAACACGAGACUCCAUCUGGCUCCUAGAUAAAUGCCUGAGGGAACUGAACGCACGUCCAGGCAAACGCUGGUGGCCUUCUUCACGGCAGCCCCAGUCGGAAGCGCCCAAACAUCCACCACCUGUAGACUACACGACUAAAAUGUGGUAUAUCCACACACUGGAAUAUUACCCGCCCGUUGAAGGAAUCAGGUGCCCAUCUGUCCCCAAAGAACAGUAAGUACAGCGUCUGUCACCGAAGGACAAGGCUCCAAGGCCCGGGCAGAAUUUCCUCUCUCCCCUGCCUUUCUCAGGCUCGCCCGCGUCAUUGAAGGUAACUGUCCUCACCUCAGCCAGCAGGGGCUGCCCUCACCUCCUUGGGGUCUCUCCCAGGAGCACCUGUCCGGGCUUGAGUAACUGGGGACUAUAUCCUGGCCCGUGGUGCAUCCGACAGCCAUCCAGAGCCCCUCGUGUUUUCUUCUUUUAUUGUAGUUGUGCUUCCCACUCCUGAAACUCUGAUGGAUGCUCGCGGAUGCUCCCGGUUGGGGGAUUUAGUAUGGAGCCAAGUCGGUGGUUCCUCUGAUUUGGAGACAGAAGUUCCGGCUGGCUGUUUCCCAUUUCUUGUGAGACUGAAACAAACAGAAGAAUGAAAGAAAUCGUUAUUGGCACUUGACAAGAGACAGGAGGUUGUGAGGACAGAAGAGACGUGGAGGGGAUCUAGGGGAGGCAGCCUGAGAGGCGUCCCAUUACGCCAACCAGUCUGUGGGUAAAAUUUGCUCACAGGCUAACAUGCCCCUUGAGAUGGUUAAUUUUGCAUGUCAACUUGACUGGGCCAUGGAGCCCAGACAUGUGAGCAGCCAUUAUUCUGGAUGUUUCCAAGAGGGUGUUUUGGGAUGAGGUUAAUCCUUAAAUCCAUGGGCUUUGAGAUUACUUUCAUAGUGUGGGUAGGUGGGCCUCAUCCAAUCAGUUGAUGGACACAUGACUGCCUCCAAAGAAGGAAUUUUGCAGCAGAACAGCUUUUGGACUUGAGCCAAAACAUCAGCUGUCCCCUGGGACUCCACCCUGGUGGUCCACUCUAGAUUGUGGACUUGCCAGCCUCCACAAUUACGGGAGCCAAUUCCUUAAAAUAAAUCUCUUUCUAUAUAUA